CCAACAGAAGACAUUUGGCAGUAUGCCCACCUCCAUAUCGUAAGAUCUAGAGACACAGAGAGUAUAAAAGAUUUUGUUUUUGUAUUGGGUUAUCGAAUUUUGUUACUAGGAGGUGGACAGAAUGCCAAAUAAUCUCUGUAAG
rnacentral:pre_miRNA from 1 species